CCUACGGGAGGCAGCAGUGAGGAAUAUUGGUCAAUGGGCGAGAGUCUGAACCAGCCAAGUAGCGUGAAGGAAGACGGUCCUAUGGGUUGUAAACCUCUUUUAUCUGGGAGCAAAGUACACCAUGCAUAACGUUCCGAGUGUACCCGAUGAAAAAGGAUCGGCUAACUCCGUGCCAGCAGCCGCGGUAAUACGGAGGAUCCGAGCGUUAUCCGGAUUUAUUGGGUUUAAAGGGAGCGAAGGCGGAAGCUAAAGUCAGAGGUAAAAUUGGGAGGCUCAACCUCUUCUUGCCGUUGAAACUGGGUGUCUUGAGUGAGCGAGAGGUAUGCGGAAUGCGUGGUGUAGCGGUGAAAUGCAUAGAUAUCACGCAGAACUCCGAUUGCGAAGGCAGCAUACCGGCGCUCAACUGACGCUCAUGCACGAAAGUGUGGGUAUCGAACAGGAUUAGAUACCCCUGUAGUC
rnacentral:rRNA from 1 species